rnacentral:rRNA from 1 species
GACGAACGCUGGCGGCGUGCCUAAUACAUGCAAGUCGAACGCUUCCUUCCUCCCGAGUGCUUGCACUCAAUUGGAAAGAGGAGUGGCGGACGGGUGAGUAACACGUGGGUAACCUACCCAUCAGAGGGGGAUAACACUUGGAAACAGGUGCUAAUACCGCAUAACAGUUUAUGCCGCAUGGCAUAAGAGUGAAAGGCGCUUUCGGGUGUCGCUGAUGGAUGGACCCGCGGUGCAUUAGCUAGUUGGUGAGGUAACGGCUCACCAAGGCCACGAUGCAUAGCCGACCUGAGAGGGUGAUCGGCCACACUGGGACUGAGACACGGCCCAGACUCCUACGGGAGGCAGCAGUAGGGAAUCUUCGGCAAUGGACGAAAGUCUGACCGAGCAACGCCGCGUGAGUGAAGAAGGUUUUCGGAUCGUAAAACUCUGUUGUUAGAGAAGAACAAGGACGUUAGUAACUGAACGUCCCCUGACGGUAUCUAACCAGAAAGCCACGGCUAACUACGUG